CCUGAGUCAUGGGUGUUUUCUAUGUAUUUAAGUAUUUAUAAAUAUUUGUCUAAGUACCCACAACACAAGCCUUAGUAAGCUUACUGUGGGACUUAGUCAAUUUGUGUAAUAAUGUCCUGUAAUAUUUAUUUAU